rnacentral:rRNA from 1 species
GACGAACGCUGGCGGCGUGCUUAACACAUGCCAGUCGAACGGAAAGGCCUCUUUCGGGGGGUACUCGAGUGGCGAACGGGUGAGUAACACGUGAGUAACCUGCCCUUGACUUUGGGAUAACUUCAGGAAACUGGGGCUAAUACCGGAUAGGAGCUCCUGCUGCAUGGUGGGGGUUGGAAAGUUUCGGCGGUUGGGGAUGGACUCGCGGCUUAUCAGCUUGUUGGUGGGGUAGUGGCUUACCAAGGCUUUGACGGGUAGCCGGCCUGAGAGGGUGACCGGCCACAUUGGGACUGAGAUACGGCCCAGACUCCUACGGGAGGCAGCAGUGGGGAAUAUUGCACAAUGGGUGGAAGCCUGAUGCAGCAACGCCGUGUGCGGGAUGACGGCCUUCGGGUUGUAAACCGCUUUCGCUCAUGACGAAGCUUUGUGUGACGGUAGUGGGUAAAGAAGCACCGGCUAACUACGU